rnacentral:rRNA from 1 species
AACGAACGCUGGCGGCAUGCCUAACACAUGCAAGUCGAACGAGAUCUUCGGGUCUAGUGGCGCACGGGUGCGUAACGCGUGGGAACCUGCCCUUAGGUUCGGAAUAACUCCCCGAAAGGGGUGCUAAUACCGGAUAAUGUCUUCGGACCAAAGAUUUAUCGCCUUUGGAUGGGCCCGCGUUGGAUUAGCAAGUUGGUAGGGUAAAAGCCUACCAAGGCGACGAUCCAUAGCUGGUCUGAGAGGAUGAUCAGCCACACUGGGACUGAGACACAGCCCAGACUCCUACGGGAGGCAGCAGUGGGGAAUAUUGGACAAUGGGCGAAAGCCUGAUCCAGCAAUGCCGCGUGAGUGAUGAAGGCCUUAGGGUUGUAAAGCUCUUUUACCCGGGAUGAUAAUGACAGUACCGGGAGAAUAAGCUCCGGCUAACUCCGUG